rnacentral:rRNA from 1 species
GAUGAACGCUGGCGGCGUGCCUAAUACAUGCAAGUAGAACGCUGAAGGAAGGAGCUUGCUCUUUCCGGAUGAGUUGCGAACGGGUGAGUAACGCGUAGGUAACCUGCCUGGUAGCGGGGGAUAACUAUUGGAAACGAUAGCUAAUACCGCAUAACAGUAGAUGUUGCAUGAUAUCUACUUAAAAGGUGCAAUUGCACCACUACCAGAUGGACCUGCGUUGUAUUAGCUAGUUGGUGAGGUAACGGCUCACCAAGGCGACGAUACAUAGCCGACCUGAGAGGGUGAUCGGCCACACUGGGACUGAGACACGGCCCAGACUCCUACGGGAGGCAGCAGUAGGGAAUCUUCGGCAAUAGACGGAAGUCUGACCGAGCAACGCCGCGUGAGUGAAGAAGGGUUUCGGAUCGUAAAGCUCUGUUGUAAGAGAAGAACGAGUGUGAGAGUGGAAAGUUCACACUGUGACGGUAUCUUAACAGAAAGGGACGGCUAACUACGUG